GGCCCCUUGGUCAAGCGGUUAAGACGCAGCCCUCUCAAGGCUGAAUCAUGGGUUCGAUUCCCGUAGGGGUCACCA
rnacentral:tRNA from 9 species